GUUGCAUGUCACGCCCAAAUACUUAGUAUAUUCUAACAUAAUAAUGCAUACUUUUUGCCUACAUUGUCUCAUAAUAUAGGGGUUGAGAUUUAAGAUCCUAAUCAUACACGUAACUAGUAGGUGUUCUCUAUCCAACUGUGUUGUGGUGAGUCCUCUUUGAUCGGGGACUAGUUUUCAAGUUGGUUACUAUUUUCUUUUCAAAAGACUUUUGUUUACGUUGUAUAUUGAGGGUGAGCUAGGGACAUGUCUUAGCCCCCGCCUAUAUUCAUAAGUAGAGGCAUCUAGUUGAACAAAUGUUUCGAGUCUAUGUUGUCAUAUGACAUUCCUCAAUUUGUAAUCAUGGUUUAGACUCUCUUAUGAUAUUUCUUCCUUUACUUUACCUUGUGUAUGCUUAUGAUAUGUACAAGAGUCUUAGUUGGAGCCCUUUGAGGUUUUGAUUGCUGUGUUACGACUAGGCCAUAGGUCGGGUCGUGACAGGCUCUCUUUAGCGAACCUCGCUUAAGCGGCCAGGGGAUUGCUUAAGUGAGGCCGGCUCCUAGGCAGGGGUCGCUUUUGCGACGCCUGGGUAUUCUUUUAAGAAUAGUUUUCCAACUUAGUUCCUCAUUUUUAAAACUCGAUAUCUCUUUCAAUUUGUCUUUAUUUUGAGUGAUUCAAAGGCUGGACUACUGGGCAUUGUUAGGAGAACCUAUUGGAAUUAUUGGAAAGUGUUGGAGAGUCUUCGUUUGAGGUAAUUAUUGCAUUUUAGUUGCUUUCCUAUUUGUUCUUUUAACUUCAAUGGUGAUCUCCUUGCAUGAUUCGAUUUUGGGCUAUUUCGAACCCUGAAUUGUGUUCCGUUUUGGGACACAAGUUUAGGGAGCUUAAUAGGACCCUUUCAAUGAGUUAAUUUUAGAAAUUCUGAUGUAGUCCCCACAUUCCCAUUUUAGACUCCAAAAUUGUUCCUUCUCCAUUUAUAGUCAAUAUAUCUAAAAGACUGUAUUGAUGUUGCAAAACUAUUUUUGAUAGCAUGGCAACAUUCAGAGGUCAUUCGAAAGGGGAAGGCUCCGACAUCUUGAUUUUAGAGAACGUGUGAUCGGUUUAAAGGGACGGACGACAUUCAUCCUAUUCAUGGCUAGACUUGACUUAGCCACUUCAUUUCAUUAUGUGUAAUCAUUUUAUGUAUACUAUGCAUGAGAAGAUGGCUUGGUUAGAAUCCUUCGAGUUUUCGAUCGUCGUGUUACAGCUAGGUUUUAGGUUGGGUCAUGACAAUGUGGCAGUAUGAGGGGUGGUUCUUUUGUUUAAAGAUCAUAGUACGGGUUCUCGUUACUGAUUUGGAUCUCGUGCGGAGCAGCUAUUGGAAUUCAGAGACUAGGGUUAGCUCCUAUCAUUCAGAGUUCCUUAUCUCCCUUUGUAUUGAGUAGGACUAGUCUUUAUUUUUUUUCCAGAGACACUCUGUACUUAUAUCUUAUUUUGUUAAGGCUUGUACUCUUGUUUUGACUAGAAGCUCAACUACUGACUGAUACCAAGUUUUAGGGGUUUAUUUCCUAUAUUGAUUUGGCUCCCUCU